rnacentral:rRNA from 1 species
CCUACGGGUGGCACCAGUGGGGAAUAUUGGACAAUGGGCGAAAGCCUGAUCCAGCAAUGCCGCGUGUGUGAAGAAGGUCUUCGGAUUGUAAAGCACUUUCGACGGGGACGAUGAUGACGGUACCCGUAGAAGAAGCCCCGGCUAACUUCGUGCCAGCAGCCGCGGUAAUACGAAGGGGGCUAGCGUUGCUCGGAAUGACUGGGCGUAAAGGGCGCGUAGGCGGUUUACGCAGUCAGAAGUGAAAUCCCCGGGCUUAACCUGGGAACUGCAUUUGAGACCCAUAGACUAGAGGUCGAGAGAGGGUUGUGGAAUUCCCAGUGUAGAGGUGUAAUUCGUAGAUAUUGGGAAGAACACCGGUGGCGAAGGCGGCAACCUGGCUCGAUACUGACGCUGAGGCGCGAAAGCGUGGGGAGCAAACAGGAUUAGAUACCCUCGUAGUC